rnacentral:lncRNA from 1 species
AACGAGCAUGUACCGAUACCGGUGAAGAUUGUCGGCAAAAGAACAAGGCUAUGUCAAGGAAAAAACGUAAUGGAGGUGUUGGUCCAGUGGGAGGGUACAUCUGUAGAAGAAGCAACAUGGGAGGGUACACGUGAACUUGCGGAGCUCUUUCCGUCAAUGAACCUUGAGGGCAAGGUUCGUCCGUUAGAGGAUGGCAAUGUUACGAUCACAUUGGAUACCCAUGCUUGCAAGAGUGACAUGAAGACAGAGGUCCUUAGAAGAGAGAUGGAGGCAGCUCCAUGUAGAGAA